rnacentral:rRNA from 1 species
UACGAAGGGGGCUAGCGUUGUUCGGAUUUACUGGGCGUAAAGCGCACGUAGGCGGAUCGUUAAGUCAGGGGUGAAAUCCUGGGGCUCAACCCCAGAACUGCCUUUGAUACUGGCGAUCUCGAGUCCGGAAGAGGUGAGUGGAACUCCUAGUGUAGAGGUGGAAUUCGUAGAUAUUAGGAAGAACACCAGUGGCGAAGGCGGCUCACUGGUCCGGUACUGACGCUGAGGCGCGACAGCGUGGGGAGCAAACAGG